CAGCUAAGUUCGCUUAAAGCAUUGCAAUAUUUUAUUAGCAAAUAUUGGUAUGGAAAAAUAUCAUUUUACAAGAUACAAGUAAUUAUAGAAUUUAUUUACAUAGCGUGCAAAGACAUUAUUUAUAUUGACAAAAGCCAAUUGGCUAGCUAAAUUCUUAGGUGAUUCCAUAAAAACUUUGUAUACCAUGUCUAGCGAAGAUCAAAGUUAUGACUCUAGUGAUUCAACUACGGAAAAACGUUUUAAAUAUGCUUCGGGAUCACACAAAAAAUCUAAAAAGGAAAAGAAACAUAGGAAAACCAGUAAAAGUGAAAAAUCCCAUAGGAAGCACAAGAAGUCAAAGAAAAGACACCACAAACACAGCGAGUCAUCAGUUUCUGAAGAUACUGGUGACAAACACCGUAGUGGCGCUCUUAAUGAAAAGUUCACAGAAAUAAUGCACAAAGUCAGCAAAGAUGCCAAUCCACGAUGUGAUCAGCAAGCGAAUGGAGGUGGGUUCAGCAUAACAAAAACAAAUCUUCAAACUGACCCCGGAAGUCUGGUAGAGGAGAUUACCAAGACAAUUCAAAAUAAUAUUUAUCCUACUAUGGAAGUAGCAUCAUCCGGCAGUGAAAGUGAAAUUCAAAACGAUGUAGCUAGUCCAGAUGUUGCUAUCAUAGAAGACGAACUCAACCUCGAAGAAUUAAUGAAACAGAAGGCUUUACUUCAAGCUCGUUUAGGUGCAUAUUUAUCAGAGUCCGAUAGUGAAGAUAGUCUCCCCAAUGAAGUUCCAAUCGUAAACCGCAGUAUUUACAAAGAAACGGCAGCGGGAACUACAUACGAUGAAAAAAUUAAUACUAACAGCAAACAGCCAGUCAAAACGCGUUCAUUGUCAGCUUCAUCGUCAAUCAGUAAAAAUGUUAUUAGUAAACAUAGUAAAAAAUAUAUUUCAAAUGAACCUGAUGUUAUAUUAUUGGAUGAUUCUAGCGGAGGACAUCGUACUCCUGAAUCUAAGCGCAAGUCAUCUCGUCCUUAUGUUGCUAGUAAAGAUGAGCGUAUGCCAUCACCUCGCAGGAAGUCGUUAGGUGACCAUUACCAACAACAUCGUCAUGCUCACCAAGAGUUGCAGGAAACGCGUGGACGACGUAGUUCACGAGAUCGACAUCCACAUACUGGCAAACGGAGCCGCAGUCGAUCGCUGCGUAGAGAAUCGGAGACAAAUAUUCAUCGACGUCGUGACGACAGCCACAACCGUGGUCGGCAUCGGCGCGAUAUUCAUGAUCAAAACAGAAACAAAGAAGAUCUUCGACUUGAAAUAAAUCGCGAUAAACAACGCGAACGUGAAAAUAGCCGUGAUCGUGAUCGCCGUGGGCGAGAUGAUCGAAUUAGGCAGCAAGAGCGUAGUGGUGGAGACUGUUACGGUAACUCUCGUGGCCGAGAGCGUGAACGUGAUCGAGAACGUAGAAUGCGUUCCCAUAGCCGUAGUAAAUUAGAAUCGGAUCGGCGACGAGUGGAACGAGAGCGUCAACGCGAUGGAAAAUCCGAAAGAGACAGCUGGAGAGGUGAAGAUCGUGGUCGAGAACGUGAUAAGGAUCGCUACCGUGGAUCGCUCAGUGAAGGUCAAAAAGCUGAAAUCAAAGACACAAGUAGUGAUGAUGGCGACAACUUAGAUAUUGACAUUAACGAGGAUGAAGACGAAGAGGAGAAAAUUAUAGAGAUGAGAAGAAAGCAGCGCGAAGAGUUGUUAAAGAAACUUGGUGGUAAAAAGGAGGCAUCACCACCAAAAAAUUUCACACAUUCUCAAAGGGAUCGCAGUCCACCUAUCAAAUAUGAUUUAGAAGAACCUGCGCCGUUGAUACAAACCACUCCAACAAAGAUUUCGGUUGAAGAGCCCACCCAUGCGGAGGAUAAGGACAUGGACGAAGAUAAAAAAAUAAAAAAUUCUACAAAAGAAAAACGUCCCGAGUGGGAUAUGUUUGCAGAUCAAGAUGUGGACUCUAAUUUCGAUUCUCCUAAUACAAUAGUGUUGAAUAAAACGCAAAUUGAAAAUCCUGCAUUGACUGACAAUUGGGACGAUGCCGAAGGAUACUAUCGUGUGCGCAUUGGAGAAAUUCUUGACAACCGUUAUGUUGUUAGUGGGUACACCGGACAAGGUGUAUUCAGUAACGUAGUAAGAGCUCGUGAUCAAGCACGUGGAAAUGCUAACGUGGCUGUAAAAAUUAUACGUAAUAACGAAAUAAUGCACAAAACUGGUCUGCGUGAAUUGGAGAUUCUGAAGAAGUUAAAUGAUGCUGAUCCCGAAGAUAGAUUCCAUUGCUUACGACUUUUCAGACAUUUUUUUCACAAACAGCAUUUAUGUAUGGUAUUUGAACCACUAUCUAUGAACCUGCGAGAAGUGCUUAAAAAAUAUGGGAAAAAUGUAGGUUUACACAUCAAAGCGGUGCGGAGCUAUACCCAACAAUUGUUUUUGGCUCUUAAGCUGCUCAAAAAGACGGGCAUACUCCACGCAGAUAUUAAGCCCGACAACAUUUUAGUGAAUGAGAAUAAUUUGUGUUUGAAGCUUUGUGAUUUUGGUUCUGCAUCAACUAUUAACGACAACGAAAUUACACCAUAUUUGAUAUCGCGCUUUUAUCGUGCACCCGAAAUAAUAUUGGGCAUUACAUAUGACUAUGGCAUUGACAUGUGGUCUGCGGGUUGUACAAUAUAUGAGUUAUACACGGGUAAAAUACUCUUUAGUGGAAAGAGUAACAACCAAAUGCUGAAAUUUUUCAUGGACUUAAAAGGGAAAAUACCAAAUCGAAUUAUUCGUAAGGGUCAAUUCAAAGACCAACAUUUUGAUCAGAGCUGCAACUUCCUUUAUCAUGAAAUUGACAAAAUCACAGAACGGGAAAAAAUCGUUGUAAUGCCUGUAAUAAAAGCUACUCGAAAUUUGCAACAAGAACUUAUUGCUGACCAGAAUUUACCAGAUGAUCAACAACGUAAAGUAACGCAAUUAAAAGAUCUAUUGGAUAAUAUGUUUGCACUUGAUCCAUCGAAACGGAUUUCCUUGAAUCAAGCACUCACACAUCCUUUCAUUCAAGAAAAGAUGUAGACGGCGUUUUUAAUAAUAAUGGUUUUGAUGCUAUUUGAACCGAUAUGCGAAAUAACGGACGCCAUUACACCAGGCAUACACACAAUAAUUGAUCGCUGUGCAACGCAUAAGCGCAGGCGUGCUGAUGCCUAUCACCACAUUUUGCGUCGAACGAGAGUACAGCAUGUUUUGUGUUAUUGCGCUGGUAAUAAUAAUUUGGGAUUGAAGCUAUGCUUAUUUUGAUAAGAUGAAACUAAAUUUAAAUUUCGUAAAAAUCUCCAUUUCGGAGCAGCGUGAGAAUCGAUUUGCUUGCACGGAUCACAUCCCAAAUCAUUUUCGACGCCAUGUGAUUGCAAUGGAGAUACGGCUGUUAUACAGCGAUGUUAAAUGCUUUAACUAUAGUCUGUGUAAAAAAUAAAUUUAUUUCAUCGGCAGAAAGGGAAGGAUACAUUGCCUUUUUCAAAAAACCUAACUGCUGAGCUCGUACGUUUGGAGGAGCUGAGGAAUUGGAUUGAGUGAAAACUGCAAGAUAUAGUACAGAAAUUAAGGUAAUUUGUUGGACAAGAAAAGCGAUGCAAAUAUUUUAUUAUUUUUAAUGCAAAAAAGAAAAAACUUUAACUUCGGCUGCACUUUAGCUAGAGAAACCUUCACAUGUAAAAUAAUUCCAUAUACAUAAGAUUAGAUACUAAAUUUUGAUAGAUCAGUUUAUAUGACAGCUAAAUGCUCCAUUUUGAAUAAUUUCCUCGGAGACUGUACCGUUGUACAAUAUUCCAAAAUAAAUUUCGUGAAGCCAGAUUUUCAAGUAAAAAAAGAAAUCAGCAAAUACUU
rnacentral:misc_RNA from 1 species